rnacentral:rRNA from 1 species
GAUGAACGCUGGCGGCGUGCCUAAUACAUGCAAGUCGAGCGAACGGACGAGAAGCUUGCUUCUCUGAUGUUAGCGGCGGACGGGUGAGUAACACGUGGAUAACCUACCUAUAAGACUGGGAUAACUUCGGGAAACCGGAGCUAAUACCGGCUGAUAUUUUGAACCGCAUGGUUCAAAAGUGAAAGACGGUCUUGCUGUCACUUAUAGAUGGAUCCGCGCUGCAUUAGCUAGUUGGUAAGGUAACGGCUUACCAAGGCAACGAUGCAUAGCCGACCGGAGAGGGUGAUCGGCCACCCUGGACUUGGGACACGGUCCGGCUCCCUACGGGAGGCAGCAGUAGGGAUUCUGCCGCAAUGGGCGAAAGCCUGACCGAGCAACGCCGCGUGAGUGAUGAAGGUCUUCGGUUCGUAAAACUCUGUUAUGAGGGAAGAACACAUGUGUAAGUAACUGUGCACAUCUGGACGGUACCUAAGCAGAAGGCCCCGGCUAACUCCGU